rnacentral:rRNA from 1 species
UACGUAGGGUGCAAGCGUUAAUCGGAAUUACUGGGCGUAAAGCGUGCGCAGGCGGUUUUGUAAGUCUGUCGUGAAAUCCCCGGGCUCAACCUGGGAAUUGCGAUGGAGACUGCAAGGCUAGAAUCUGGCAGAGGGGGGUAGAAUUCCACGUGUAGCAGUGAAAUGCGUAUAGAUGUGGAGGAACACCGAUGGCGAAGGCAGCCCCCUGGGUCAAGAUUGACGCUCAUGCACGAAAGCGUGGGGAGCAAACAGG